UGUGCUUCUGAUUGUACAUAUCUAAGCAUCUUUCACAUCUGCAGAGGAUAUCCCUCCAAUUUUUGGAAAGAAACAGCGAUUUAUUUUCCAAAACAGGCAGAGUAGAUACUGUAUCAACUCCAAGAACACAAGUAGUCUGACGGUUGCCAUCUUUUGUGCUUUGAUUUGAACCUAUAUUCUUCUCAGAGCUCUCUCCAAUAAC
rnacentral:misc_RNA from 1 species